rnacentral:sRNA from 1 species
ACAGGAUGUCAGUGGUUCUAAACAGUAUCGAGUUUUUCAUUUAUGAAAAACUCGAAGUUCAGAAAUGUCCACGGAUGGACAUUUCUGAACGA